rnacentral:rRNA from 1 species
GAUGAACGCUGGCGGCGUGCCUAAUACAUGCAAGUCGAGCGAAUGGAUUAAGAGCUUGCUCUUAUGAAGUUAGCGGCGGACGGGUGAGUAACACGUGGGUAACCUGCCCAUAAGACUGGGAUAACUCCGGGAAACCGGGGCUAAUACCGGAUAACAUUUUGAACCGCAUGGUUCGAAAUUGAAAGGCGGCUUCGGCUGUCACUUAUGGAUGGACCCGCGUCGCAUUAGCUAGUUGGUGAGGUAACGGCUCACCAAGGCAACGAUGCGUAGCCGACCUGAGAGGGUGAUCGGCCAAACUGGGACUGAGACACGGCCAAGACUCCUACGGGAGGCAGCAGUAGGGAAUCUUCCGCAAUGGACGAAAGUCUGACGGAGCAACGCCGCGUGAGUGAUGAAGGCUUUCGGGUCGUAAAACUCUGUUGUUAGGGAAGAACAAGUGCUAGUUGAAUAAGCUGGCACCUUGACGGUACCUAACCAGAAAGCCACGGCUAACUACGUGCCAGCAGCCGCGGUAA